UACGAAGGGGGCUAGCGUUGCUCGGAAUCACUGGGCGUAAAGCGCACGUAGGCGGCUCCGCAUGUCGGGCGUGAGAUCCCCGGGCUUAACCUGGGAAUUGCGUCCGAAACUAUGGAGCUGGAGUGUGGCAGAGGGAGGUGGAAUUCCACGUGUAGCGGUGAAAUGCGUAGAGAUGUGGAGGAACACCGAUGGCGAAGGCAGCCUCCUGGGCCAACACUGACGCUCAUGCACGAAAGCGUGGGGAGCAAACAGG
rnacentral:rRNA from 1 species